rnacentral:rRNA from 1 species
GACGAACGCUGGCGGCGUGCUUAACACAUGCAAGUCGAACGAAAAGCUCUGGAAUCUUGCUUCUAUCGAUCUUAGUGGGGGACGGCUUGGUAACGCGUUAUCAACCUGCCCUUCAGAGGGGUACAACAGUUGGAAACUACUUCUAAUACCACAUACGAUCCGCCCUCGGCAUCGCGGAUGUAUGAAAGGUGGCCUCUAUUUAUAAGCUAUCCCUGAAGGAGGGUAUUGCGUUUGAUUGGCUGGUUGGUGGGGUACCGGCCGACCAAGGCAAGGAUCAGUAGACGGUCUGAGAGGAUGAGAGGCCAAACUGGGACUGAGACACGACCCAGAAUGCUACGGGAGGGAGAAGUGGGGAAUCUUUAGGAAUGGAAGAAAGGCUGAAGGAGGGACGACGCGUGAGAGAUGACGGCAUUCGGGUUGUAAAGCUCUGUAAAUCGGGACGAAAGGUCUUCUUGCGAAUAGUUAGAAGAAUUGACGGUACCGGAAGAGAAAGCCACGGCUAACUACGUG